AUGACUCCUGCCAAGGUCUGCUGUUGGGAAGGAUUUAUUAUCUCUAAGUGGCCAUGACAGAGCUGGGAGGGGGAGGUGACACUAACAAGGCUGCUAUAAUCAGCUCCCCUAGAGGCAGCGAUUAAGGGCUCAUUACCUGCUGGCUGGGUGGGUGGGAGCCUGGGAAAGACAGCAGAGGGAGCACUGAAGGUUUGUGCGGAGGAAUGGGGACAAUCUAGAGGGAGCAAAAGCAGUGAACACUUCUAAUAGGGAAGUUGAUGCAGGACACUCCUGAGAAAGAUUGUGAAAAGAACUGGUUCAAAGGAGGGGGAGAGACGCCAGAGCUGGGAGUACGGCAGGCAGGGGCAGCCCUGCUGGUCACCAUCAUGGCUUCUCCAGCUGUACAUCUCCGAUGUGGAGGCUGCCCACGUCCUGGUAUGUGCCCUGGAGGCCCCGGGAGAUGUCCUCAUACAUAGAGCAAUCAUCGAGGUUCAGGCCCU